rnacentral:rRNA from 1 species
GCGUUGCUCGGAAUUAUUGGGCGUAAAGGGCAGGUAGGUGGUCUCAUUUGUCAGAGGUGAAAUCCUUGGGCUUAACCUAAGAACUGCCUCUGAAACGGUGAGACUAGAGUACUGGAGAGGGUCGUGGAAUACCCGGUGUAGCGGUGAAAUGCGUAGAGAUCGGGUGGAACACCAGAGGCGAAGGCGGCGACCUGGACAGUAACUGACACUCAACUGCGAAAGGGCGGGGAUCAAACAGGAUUAGAUACCCUGGUAGUCCGCACUGUAAACGAUGGGUACUAGGCUUGGUGGGUCUUGACCCCCGCCGAGCCGGAGCUAACGCAAUAAGUACCCCGCCUGGGAAGUACGGUCGCAAGACUAAAACUCAAAGGAAUUGACGGGGGCCCGCACAAGCGGUGGGUCAUGUGGUUUAAUUCGAAGCAACGCGAAGAACCUUACCUGGGUUUGACAUCCCCGGACCGCUGUAGAGAUACAGUUUUUGUAGCAAUACAACCGGGAGACAGGUGCUGCAUGGCUGUCGUCAGCUCGUGUGGUGACAUGUUGGGUUAAGUCCCGCAACGAGCGCAACCCCUGUCCUUAGUUGCCAGCAUUCAGUUGGGCACUCUAGGGAGACUGCCGUGGUUAACACGGAGGAAGGUGGGGAUGACGUCAAGUCCUCAUGGCCUUUAUAUCCAGGGCGACACACGUGAUACAAUGGUCGGUACAGAGGGAAGCGAAAGGGUGACCUGGAGCCAAUCUCAAAAAGCCGAUCUCAGUUCGGAUUGGAGUCUGCAACUCGACUCCAUGAAGUUGGAAUCGCUAGUAAUCGCGGAUCAGAACGCCGCGGUGAAUACGUUCCCGGGCCUUGUACACACCGCCCGUCACACCAUGGGAGCUGAUUCAACCAGAAAACGGUCAGGCUAACCGCAAGGAGGCCUUCGUUGAAGGUGGGAUUGGUGACUGGGGUGAAGUCGUAACAAGGUAACC